CCCAACGCUGUUGCGGCGGCCGAACAUGUUGCAUACGAACGUUUAGAAUCGUUGGGAAAUUCAAUUGGUCUACAAGUUGCUGGGGAAAUCAACAUGCCUCGUGAAACAGGUUACAUUUUAUAUUGUACUGCACAAAUAUUAAUUGGUAGAUUUAAAAACGAUCCAUUACUAAAAAAUUUCAGUUGUGUUAUAUUGGACGAUAUACACGAACAAAAUCCGGAAUAUAAUCAAUUAAUGGAUAAUUUGAGAAUUAUUUUACCCUACCGUUCGGAUUUAAAAAUAAUAUUAAUGAGUAAUACUGCAGCAGAAGAUACAUUUUGUGAUUAUUUC